AGCGUACACGGUGGAUGCCCUGGCAGUCAGAGGCGAUGAAGGACGUGCUAAUCUGCGAUAAGCGUCGGUAAGGUGAUAUGAACCGUUAUAACCGGCGAUUUCCGAAUGGGGAAACCCAGUGUGUUUCGACACACUAUCAUUAACUGAAUCCAUAGGUUAAUGAGGCGAACCGGGGGAACUGAAACAUCUAAGUACCCCGAGGAAAAGAAAUCAACCGAGAUUCCCCCAGUAGCGGCGAGCGAACGGGGAGCAGCCCAGAGCCUGAAUCAGUGUGUGUGUUAGUGGAAGCGUCUGGAAAGGCGCGCGAUACAGGGUGACAGCCCCGUACACAAAAAUGCACAUACUGUGAGCUCGAUGAGUAGGGCGGGACACGUGGUAUCCUGUCUGAAUAUGGGGGGACCAUCCUCCAAGGCUAAAUACUCCUGACUGACCGAUAGUGAACCAGUACCGUGAGGGAAAGGCGAAAAGAACCCCGGCGAGGGGAGUGAAAAAGAACCUGAAACCGUGUACGUACAAGCAGUGGGAGCCUCUUUUAUGGGGUGACUGCGUACCUUUUGUAUAAUGGGUCAGCGACUUAUAUUCUGUAGCAAGGUUAACCGAAUAGGGGAGCCGAAGGGAAACCGAGUCUUAACUGGGCGUUAAGUUGCAGGGUAUAGACCCGAAACCCGGUGAUCUAGCCAUGGGCAGGUUGAAGGUUGGGUAACACUAACUGGAGGACCGAACCGACUAAUGUUGAAAAAUUAGCGGAUGACUUGUGGCUGGGGGUGAAAGGCCAAUCAAACCGGGAGAUAGCUGGUUCUCCCCGAAAGCUAUUUAGGUAGCGCCUCGUGAAUUCAUCUCCGGGGGUAGAGCACUGUUUCGGCAAGGGGGUCAUCCCGACUUACCAACCCGAUGCAAACUGCGAAUACCGGAGAAUGUUAUCACGGGAGACACACGGCGGGUGCUAACGUCCGUCGUGAAGAGGGAAACAACCCAGACCGCCAGCUAAGGUCCCAAAGUCAUGGUUAAGUGGGAAACGAUGUGGGAAGGCCCAGACAGCCAGGAUGUUGGCUUAGAAGCAGCCAUCAUUUAAAGAAAGCGUAAUAGCUCACUGGUCGAGUCGGCCUGCGCGGAAGAUGUAACGGGGCUAAACCAUGCACCGAAGCUGCGGCAGCGACACUAUGUGUUGUUGGGUAGGGGAGCGUUCUGUAAGCCUGUGAAGGUGUACUGUGAGGUAUGCUGGAGGUAUCAGAAGUGCGAAUGCUGACAUAAGUAACGAUAAAGCGGGUGAAAAGCCCGCUCGCCGGAAGACCAAGGGUUCCUGUCCAACGUUAAUCGGGGCAGGGUGAGUCGACCCCUAAGGCGAGGCCGAAAGGCGUAGUCGAUGGGAAACAGGUUAAUAUUCCUGUACUUGGUGUUACUGCGAAGGGGGGACGGAGAAGGCUAUGUUGGCCGGGCGACGGUUGUCCCGGUUUAAGCGUGUAGGCUGGUUUUCCAGGCAAAUCCGGAAAAUCAAGGCUGAGGCGUGAUGACGAGGCACUACGGUGCUGAAGCAACAAAUGCCCUGCUUCCAGGAAAAGCCUCUAAGCAUCAGGUAACAUCAAAUCGUACCCCAAACCGACACAGGUGGUCAGGUAGAGAAUACCAAGGCGCUUGAGAGAACUCGGGUGAAGGAACUAGGCAAAAUGGUGCCGUAACUUCGGGAGAAGGCACGCUGAUAUGUAGGUGAAGUCCCUCGCGGAUGGAGCUGAAAUCAGUCGAAGAUACCAGCUGGCUGCAACUGUUUAUUAAAAACACAGCACUGUGCAAACACGAAAGUGGACGUAUACGGUGUGACGCCUGCCCGGUGCCGGAAGGUUAAUUGAUGGGGUCAGCGCAAGCGAAGCUCUUGAUCGAAGCCCCGGUAAACGGCGGCCGUAACUAUAACGGUCCUAAGGUAGCGAAAUUCCUUGUCGGGUAAGUUCCGACCUGCACGAAUGGCGUAAUGAUGGCCAGGCUGUCUCCACCCGAGACUCAGUGAAAUUGAACUCGCUGUGAAGAUGCAGUGUACCCGCGGCAAGACGGAAAGACCCCGUGAACCUUUACUAUAGCUUGACACUGAACAUUGAGCCUUGAUGUGUAGGAUAGGUGGGAGGCUUAGAAGUGUGGACGCCAGUCUGCAUGGAGCCGACCUUGAAAUACCACCCUUUAAUGUUUGAUGUUCUAACGUUGACCCGUAAUCCGGGUUGCGGACAGUGUCUGGUGGGUAGUUUGACUGGGGCGGUCUCCUCCUAAAGAGUAACGGAGGAGCACGAAGGUUGGCUAAUCCUGGUCGGACAUCAGGAGGUUAGUGCAAUGGCAUAAGCCAGCUUGACUGCGAGCGUGACGGCGCGAGCAGGUGCGAAAGCAGGUCAUAGUGAUCCGGUGGUUCUGAAUGGAAGGGCCAUCGCUCAACGGAUAAAAGGUACUCCGGGGAUAACAGGCUGAUACCGCCCAAGAGUUCAUAUCGACGGCGGUGUUUGGCACCUCGAUGUCGGCUCAUCACAUCCUGGGGCUGAAGUAGGUCCCAAGGGUAUGGCUGUUCGCCAUUUAAAGUGGUACGCGAGCUGGGUUUAGAACGUCGUGAGACAGUUCGGUCCCUAUCUGCCGUGGGCGCUGGAGAACUGAGGGGGGCUGCUCCUAGUACGAGAGGACCGGAGUGGACGCAUCACUGGUGUUCGGGUUGUCAUGCCAAUGGCACUGCCCGGUAGCUAAAUGCGGAAGAGAUAAGUGCUGAAAGCAUCUAAGCACGAAACUUGCCCCGAGAUGAGUUCU
rnacentral:rRNA from 1 species